AUCCCUACGGUUCACCUCAGGUCCGCCGCAACUCCUGAGUUCCGUAGGGCGGCCGAUCCGGAGCUGCUGUGAGGCCUCUUCGGCACCCACUCCGGAUCGGCCACUAA
rnacentral:sRNA from 1 species